rnacentral:rRNA from 13 species
GAGGACGCUCACCACUUUGUGGUUCAUGACUGGGGUGAAGUCGUAACAAGGUAGCGCUAGGGGAACCUGGCGCUGGAUCACCUCCUUA